rnacentral:rRNA from 1 species
AGAAUCGGAUGUAACUUUUUCUGUAGAUGUCCGUGGAUAUAUUAUUUGUCUGAUUCCGAGUCCGUAUGAGAAAGUUACGCCUAUUUUAA